rnacentral:rRNA from 1 species
GACGAACGUUGGCGGCGUGCCUAAUACAUGCAAGUAGAACGCUGAAGGUGGAGCUUGCUCUUCUGGAUGAGUUGCGAACGGGUGAGUAACGCGUAGGUAACCUGCCUGGUAGCGGGGGAUAACUAUUGGAAACGUUAGGUAAUACCGCAUAACAGUAGUUGUUGCAUGAUAUUUACUUAAAAGGUGCCAUUGCAACACUACUAGAUGGACAAGCGUUGUAUUAGCUAGUUGGUGGGGUAACGGCUCACCGAGGCGACGAUACCUAGACGACCUGAGAGGGGAAUCGGCCACACUGGGACUGAAACACGACCAAGACUCCUACGAAAGACAGCAGUAGGAAAUCUUCGGCGGUGGACGGAAGUCUGACCGAGCAACGCCGCGUGAGUGAAGGAGGUUUUCAGAUCGUAAAACUCAGUAGUAAGAGAGGGUCGAAUAUGAGAGUGGAAAGUUCACACUGUGACAGUAUCUUACCAGAAAGGGACGGCUAACUACGUG